rnacentral:rRNA from 1 species
AGUGAACGCUGGCGGUAGGCCUAACACAUGCAAGUCGAACGGCAGCACAGAGGAGCUUGCUCCUUGGGUGGCGAGUGGCGGACGGGUGAGGAAUACAUCGGAAUCUACUCUGUCGUGGGGGAUAACGUAGGGAAACUUACGCUAAUACCGCAUACGACCUACGGGUGAAAGCAGGGGACCUUCGGGCCUGGCGCGAUUGAAUGAGCCGAUGUCGGAUUAGCUAGUUGGCGGGGUAAAGGCCCACCAAGGCGACGAUCCGUAGCUGGUCUGAGAGGAUGAUCAGCCACACUGGAACUGAGACACGGUCCAGACUCCUACGGGAGGCAGCAGUGGGGAAUAUUGGACAAUGGGCGCAAGUCUGAUCCAGCCAUACCGCGUGGGUGAAGAAGGCCUUCGGGUUGUAAAGCCCUUUUGUUGGGAAAGAAAUCCAGCUGGCUAAUACCCGGUUGGGAUGACGGUACCCAAAGAAUAAGCACCGGCUAACUUCGUGCCAGCCGCCGCAGUAA